AACGAACGCUGGCGGCAGGCCUAACACAUGCAAGUCGAGCGAGGACUUCGGUCCUAGCGGCGGACGGGUGAGUAACGCGUGGGAACGUGCCCUUUGGUACGGAAUAGCCCCGGGAAACUGGGAGUAAUACCGUAUGGUGUCUUCGGACUAAAGAUUUAUCGCCAAAGGAUCGGCCCGCGUUGGAUUAGGUAGUUGGUGGGGUAAUGGCCUACCAAGCCGACGAUCCAUAGCUGGUUUGAGAGGAUGAUCAGCCACACUGGGACUGAGACACGGCCCAGACUCCUACGGGAGGCAGCAGUGGGGAAUCUUAGACAAUGGGGGCAACCCUGAUCUAGCCAUGCCGCGUGAGUGAUGAAGGCCCUAGGGUUGUAAAGCGCUGUCAGGGGGGAUGAAAGCGCAAGCUUGACAGAGCCCCAGAGGAAGCACGGGCUAAGUUCGUGCCAGCAGCCGCGGU
rnacentral:rRNA from 1 species